rnacentral:lncRNA from 1 species
GCCCGUCACUGCGCACGUACACGUGGCACAGGUAGUCUUGCUCCUUGACCGAGGCCCUGCUGCCCAGCUCCGAGCGCUCCACGAUCAGCUGGCUGGUGAAGGUCAUGAAUUCCUGCACGCUGGACCGCUGGAAGAAGUUGAAGGUGGAGACGUCGGAGGCGGCCUUCAGCAGCUGCACGCGGGUCUCGCCCUUGUAUAGCACACUCAGGCUGUACAGCCUCAUGGUGGGUGCGGCGCAGCGGGCCGUUCGCAAGGGACGGCGGAGGGGAGCGCUGCCGACCCG